GUAUUGCUGAAGAGUCCCAAACUAGGGCGAAACAGCUGUCCAGUAC
rnacentral:hammerhead_ribozyme from 1 species